rnacentral:rRNA from 1 species
AUUGAACGCUGGCGGCAGGCCUAACACAUGCAAGUCGAGCGGAUGAAUGGAGCUUUCUCCUGGAUUCAGCGGCGGACGGGUGAGUAAUGCCUAGGAAUCUGCCUGGUAGUGGGGGAUAACGUCCGGAAACGGGCGCUAAUACCGCAUACGUCCUUAGGGAGAAAGUGGGGGAUCUUCGGACCUCACGCUAUCAGAUGAGCCUAGGUCGGAUUAGCUAGUUGGUGGGGUAAAGGCCUACCAAGGCGACGAUCCGUAACUGGUCUGAGAGGAUGAUCAGUCACACUGGAACUGAGACACGGUCCAGACUCCUACGGGAGGCAGCAGUGGGGAAUAUUGGACAAUGGGCGAAAGCCUGAUCCAGCCAUGCCGCGUGUGUGAAGAAGGUCUUCGGAUUGUAAAGCACUUUAAGUUGGGAGGAAGGGCAGUAAGUUAAUACCUUGCUGUUUUGACGUUACCAACAGAAUAAGCACCGGCUAACUUCGUG